rnacentral:tRNA from 1 species
GCGGUGUUAGCACAACGGUUAGUGCUUCAGUCUUCCAAACUGAUGAUGCGGGUUCGAUUCCCGUACACCGCUCGA